UCAGACGAUGCGUCAUGCAUAUCAAUAAGCGGAGGAAAAGAAACUAACAAGGAUUCCCUUAGUAACGGCGAGUGAAGCGGGAAGAGCUCAAAUUUGAAAUCUUGAAAGGUUACCUUUCACGAAUUGUAGUUUAAAGAAGUGUUUUCUGUUGAAGUUUUGGUAAAAGUUCUUUGGAAUAGGACAUCAUAGAGGGUGAGAAUCCCGUAUUUGACCAUUAUUUUCAGCUGUGUGAUACACUUUCAAAGAGUCGGAUUGUUUGGGAAUGCAGUCCAAAAUGGGUGGUAAAUUUCAUCUAAAGCUAAAUAUUGGCGAGAGACCGAUAGCGAACAAGUACCGUGAGGGAAAGAUGAAAAGAACUUUGAAAAGAGAGUUAAACAGUACGUGAAAUUGUCAAAAGGGAAGCGUUUGACACCAGUGUUGUUUUCUCGAAAAUCAAUUAAAAAGAGUUAGAUUUUGUUGUGUAUUGACCUUAACAGCUUGCAUUUCAAUUUUCUUGCUUUUUUUAAUGCACUUUUCGUUUAACAAGUCAACAUCAGUUUCUUUUGUUGUAAAAAGGUCAUUGGAAGGUGGCUUUCUUUUCGGAGAAAGUGUUUAUAGCCUUUGACUCCUGCAAUCGGAGAGACUGAGGUCUGCAGCGUAGAUCCUUCGGGGUUAGAUACAUUUGUGCUAAGUUAUAGCUAUUUUAUAGACAACUUGUUGACUAUAAUUAGUCUUGUAGCUUACUCGCUUAUGCUAUUUUACCUACGCUUAGGAUGUUGAGUCGUAGAGCACGCAG
rnacentral:rRNA from 1 species